rnacentral:rRNA from 1 species
GGUUCCAAUAGCGUAUUUAAAGUUGUUGCCGUUAAAUAGCUUAUAUUUGGAUUUCUGGCUUGGUGUGUGAGUCCGCUCGUACAAGUUCGUACCAUAUAUGUCUAGCCAUUUUUUGGGAGAGCCAUAAUGGUAUUAAGUUCUUAGUUUUUGGGAUUUUAAUUCUUUCCUGAGAGAAAAUUAGAGUGUUCAAAGUAGGCUCACGCCGUUGAAUAUAUUAAUAUCCAAUAAUAACAUAUAAAUAUUGUACUAUUUUUUGGUUUGUGCACAAUAGUAAUGAAUAUCAGGGACAUUUGCUGGUAUUUUUAUUUCAUUGUCAGAUUUAAAAUUCUUGAUUAUUUUUGAAAAAAAACUACUGCAAAAGCCUUUACAAAAGAGGUUGUCA